rfam:Streptomyces sp. ERV7 Contig_3, whole genome shotgun sequence.
CCGGCCCGCACUAGCGGGUCGGUAACUGACACCGGUACCUGACACGGCCGGUGCAG